rnacentral:rRNA from 1 species
UGGGGAAUAUUCCGCAAUGGACGAAAGUCUGACGGAGCAACGCCGCGUGAGUGAUGAAGGUUUUCGGACUGUAAAGCUCUGUUGUUUAGGACGAAAGUGCCUGUUGCGAACAGUUACGGUAUUGACGGUACUAAACGAGGAAGCCACGGCUAACUACGUGCCAGCAGCCGCGGUAAUACGUAGGUGGCAAGCGUUGUCCGGAAUUAUUGGGCGUAAAGAGCAUGUAGGCGGAGAUUUAAGUCUGUUGUGAAAAUGCGGGGCUCAACCCCGUAUUGCGAUGGAAACUGAAUUUCUUGAGUGCAGGAGAGGAGAGGGGAAUUCCCAGUGUAGCGGUGAAAUGCGUAGAUAUUGCGAGGAACACCAGUGGCGAAGGCGCCUUUCUGGACUGUGUCUGACGCUGAGAUGCGAAAGCGAGGGUAGCGAACGG